AUAGUCCAUCUCUCUUCAUGUUUCUCAACAUGGAAUUUACUUUAAAUCUGUUUCUUUUAUCUUUUCAUUUUUGGUUAUAACUGACUUAGGAAAUUAUGAAUGAGACUAUAAUAUAAUCUAAUUAUACGUUUGCCAUUUUUAAUAUUAAAUUAUAUAUUUUCCUGGAGAGAUGACACAGAAAGCAACUAAGAGCACUGCUGUUCUUGUAUAAGAUCCAGGCACCCAUAUAGCAGCUCACAGCCUCCUAUAACUCCUGUUCCAGGGGAUCAGACAUGCUCUUCUAGCUUCUGCAGUCACCAGACAUACACAUGAAGCACAGACUGUUCAUAUAUGUAAACUAAAAGUAAAUUUCUUAAAGCCAUUAGAAUAUAUAAUAAGGAGUAUUUCAAGAAUCUCUUUAGUUUAUCUGCUAAUCAAAAAUUAGUAAAACUAGUAAUAAAGGGUUACAGUGUUUUAAAAAUCUGGCUUCUGCCGGGCGUGGUGGCACACGCCUUUAAUCCCAGCACUCAGAGGACGCAGAGGCAGGCGGAUUUCUGAGUUCGAGGCCAGCCUGGUCUACAAAGUGAGUUCCAGGACAGCCAGGGCUAUACAGAGAAACCCUGUCUCGAAAAAAAAAAAAAAAUCUGGCUUCUUGGGGCUGAGGAGUUGAGUGUCUUCUUUAGAAAUUAAACCAUAGUAUUUACAUAGAGAAGGAGAUCUUUAAUAGUGAAGCUUUAAAGAGUAACUAUUGCUCAAGCAUUGGUGGUUGCCAAAAUUAGUCCUCUAAGCAAGGGCCACACAGUAGCACCAGAACUGGCAGGCUCUUACAAGCCUGAGUGGACACAAGGUCUGUUGUAGUUUCGUGAAGAAACCCAGGAAUCUGGGGCCAUCAGUGCUGUUACAGCCACAGCUCCAACACUAAUGCUUCCCUAGCUAUGGUCCUGUGGCUCCUCACUUGCCACUGUGCCUUUUACCUCAGGAUGAGCCCAAGAGCACAAGAGCACAGUGUGUGGUUGAAUCCAUUCUGUUCCGUGUGGUGACUUUCACAUGAAUAUUAAAGGCUCAGGUAAAGCAGGACCACUUAGACCACACAUAGUCAAGUUGUAUACAGCUUCUCAUAUGCAGAUUAAAGUAGAUUGUGCUUUGUGCAUAUAUUCAGAUUAGUCAUCUCCAGAUUGGGGUCAUAAGGCAGUUUUUCUGUUUCCUUCCUUUAAUUUCAGCAUUUUGUUUGUUUGUUUGCUUGUAUGUAGUUUCCUAAACGGGAUGGGUAUGUAUUGCUUACGUGAACAGAGAAAAACAAUGUUUUGCAAAUGCUAAUUUUAUAUUGAGGUAUAUAAAAUAUAAAAUAAAAAUGUGGUUCCAGGCUUGCAUAAAUAACUAAUGCUAUUAGUAGGUAAACUCAAGUUUAACAGACCAGCUUCUAGCUUGGCAUUGGAUUUUUAAGAAAAGACAAUUCCUCAAUAUCUUUGUAAUGGUUGGAUUCCUGCAAAGUCCAUUGGUAUCAGAUUGGUGCAUAUGUCCUACCCAAUAGGUCCCACCUGUUUCAAACUGCUAUCAUACGGAGUCCAUUAAAUUUACUUCAUAAUUAAAAGAUAAAACUUAAGCCAGACAUGGUAGCAUAUCUUUAAUCCCAGUACUUGAGAGGCCAAGGCAGAAGGAUCAGGAGGCAGGAGUUUGAAGCCAGCUUAGCUAUAAUGUGAGAUUCUGUUUCUAAUAAUAAGAAAUAAUAAUAAUUUUUGCCAAAUCACAGAACAUUUCAAUCAGUUCACUUUUUUAUUUUAAAUUUAUAUUCUUUUCUAAAUUAAACCCUAGGGUUGGGACAUAAAUCCCCAAUAAUUAGGAGGACAUAGACACAGGUCAUCUUAGAACUUCCACAUAUACCUGAAAAGCUUGAACAAUAGUCAGAUAUUGGCAUGUGUACAGCCUUUGAGUCACUGUCUUCAUAAUUCCUAGAUCUAAUGUUUUUGAAGGCCACAUAUUGCUGCCUUCAGCAAACCUGAGCCAAGAAAAUGAACUGAAGUACCAUGUUAGGGUGACAGGAAAGCAUUUGUAUAGACUGCUGUCAGCGCUUAUAUUAACUUCAGAAACAUCAGAAUGCUAUGUGGUAGCUUCAGACACCCUUGAAUUUUGACAGGAAGCUGAAAAUCUUCUUAUCAAAGGAAAGGUUGAAGUUUAAAAUAACUCUAGCUAGGUGUGGUAGCUCACAGAGGUGGAUCUCUCUGUUCAAGGCCAGCCUGCUCUUCAAAGUGAGCUACAUAGAGAAACCCUGUCUCG
rnacentral:lncRNA from 1 species